rnacentral:rRNA from 1 species
AUCUGCCCAGUAGCGGGGGAUAGCUCGGGGAAACUCGAAUUAAUACCGCAUACGCCCCACGGGGGAAAGGCCGGGAUCUUCGGACCGGUCGCUACUGGAUGAGCCUGCGUUGGAUUAGCUUGUUGGUGGGGUAAAGGCCUACCAAGGCGACGAUCCAUAGCUGGUCUGAGAGGAUGAUCAGCCACACUGGGACUGAGACACGGCCCAGACUCCUACGGGAGGCAGCAGUGGGGAAUAUUGCACAAUGGGGGAAACCCUGAUGCAGCCAUGCCGCGUGUGUGAAGAAGGCCUUCGGGUUGUAAAGCACUUUAAGUUGGGAGGAAAAGCUGGGAGUUAAUAGCUCCUAGUGUUGACGUUACCAACAGAAUAAGCACCGGCUAACUCCGUGCCAGCAGCCGCGGUAA